AGCUUAUCCCUCGUACCUUUUGCAUCAUGAUUUAGCUAGUAAUAGUCAAGCAAAAAGCAUUUUAGUUUGACCCCCCGAAACCAAGUGAGCUACUCCAAGACAACCUAAAUCUAGGGUAAACCCGUCUCUGUGGCAAAAGAGUGGGAAGAGCUUUGAGUAGGGGUGACAGACCUACCGAACUUGGUUAUAGCUGGUUGCUUGAAAAAUGAAUAGGAGUUCCGCUUCUUAAAUUCUUACCCCCCUCGAUUUUAUCCCCUAAUAACAGACAGCAGAAUAUCAAGAAAAUUAAGAAAGUUAAUCAAAGGGGGUACAGCCCCUUUGAAUCAAGGUACAACUUUUUAAGGAGGGUACAGAUCAUAUUUUACUUAAGGAACUUAUGCCUUGGUGGGCCUAAAAGCAGCCAUCCAACCAGAAAGCGUCAAAGCUCUAACAUUCCUUCCUCCCUAAUACUGAUAACAAGUCUUAGCCCCCUAACCAUAUCAAGCCGCUCCAUCGAAGCAUGGAAGUGAUUAUGCUAAAAUGAGUAAUAAGAGAAUACGUCUCUCUCCCCGCACAU
rnacentral:rRNA from 1 species